GGCUUGUUGGUCUAGUGGUAUGACACUUGCUUUGGGUGUAAGAGGUCCUGGGUUCGAAUCCCAGACAAGCCA